UUUAACCUUUGCCUUUAAAAGGUUUAUCGCCCAUUUAUUUUUCAAAAGCAAUUUUAAAUGACAGGCAGUAAAACAUAUUUAAAGCAGGACACUUAAAAUAAACAGUUGUUGGUUAAACUCAGAAACCACCAAUGAAUGGGAGGGUAUAAAAAUUUGUGUGUCUCCCCAGGUCACUCCAAAACUCCUUUUUCUCUGUUAAUGCCCCUUUCUCAUGAGAGGUGACCCCUCAGUGAUGAUGCUUUGUUAUGUGACCUGGCCAUAAUUUAGAGGACAAUAUGCAACCUCUUGACCCAACUGGGCCAGGCAAUUUCUCUCUGCAUAGAAUUUGGAAUUGGGCUGAGAGAAUGUCCACUUAGCUAGAAUUAUGACAAAUAGAGAGCAAGAAGAGAAAAGUACACCUGGGGAGGUAGGGACAGGGACAGGGGAGAGAAGGAGAGAGGCAGCCUCCAUAAAAGAAGCAGUUUCCAGAAACAGAAGCUUGAGACAUUUCCACCAAAUAUUCCUGAAUCAUGGGAUGAGAGAGAGAGAAAGAGAAUUGUAUAAGAAACCAGAGAGAAAUAAAGUACUAAUUUGA
rnacentral:lncRNA from 1 species